rnacentral:lncRNA from 1 species
GUUCUGCCAUUCUAUUGUCCUCCUGGAUUCUAAUCCUGAUAAUCAGAUCCUCUAAGGACAUUUCUUUUCUCUUAUGCUUCAAACUAUUUUUAUACUCUUUCCAAGUAGGUGGCAAUUUUUCAAUUAUAGCUGACACUUGAAAGCCCUCACAGAUUUUAUAUCCUUCAGCAAUAAUUUCGUGAAUUAUAAUCUGCAAUUCUUCAACCUGACUAACCACAGUUCUAACAUCAUUCAUUUUAAAAUCUAAAAACUUUCCCACAACAAAUUUCUUGGUUCCAGCAUCUUCAGUAGCAUAUUUCUUUUCUAAUGAAUUCCAUAACUCUUUU